rnacentral:tRNA from 1 species
AUUUAAAUAGUAUAAUAAUUAUAAUUGAUUUCCAAUCAAAAGAUCUAAAUUUUAGUUUAAAUA